UUAUCUUCUGCUCCACUGCCAGGAAGGAAGAAAGGAAGGCACUCUGCCACAUUCUCUACGGUCACCACCAUUGGAGUUGCUGUCACCACAGCUACCACAGCCCCUUUACUGACACAUCCAAAUACCUUAAGUUCAAAAGGCUGUGGCAUCAGAUUCAGAAAGAAGAGUGCUAAUUCUAAAAGAUAGCCAUUCGAGCAGCAGCAAUGUAACAGAUGUUUUGUUGAUUUAGCAAUUAUUUCAAAGGUAACAAAAACUCUGGCUAACAAUAGAGGAGGAAGGAGCUUACGCUCCAGAAGAAACACACCAACAACUACAAAUUCACAGCCACUAUCCACCAAGGGGGUACAAAAUAAUAGUAAGAAUAACAAUAACAAAAACAACAAUGAAAGCACUAAGAUGCUUUCAAGGGAGGCACCAUAGCAGAGUCGUCAUGAGCACAAGACCUGGAUCCUGCCAAUCUGGGUCUCAAGCCCAUCUCUGUUACUUACUAGCUGUGAAACGCUGAGCUGUUUCUUAAUUUUUACGUGAUUUAGCUUCCUCUCUGAAAAAUGAAGAUAAAAAUAGUAUCAGCACCACUACAGUAUUACUAUAAGGACUAAAGAAUUACCUUUUGUAGAGAACUUGGAACAGUGACUGGCACAUAAAAAGUAUUCAAUUAAUGUUGGUUAUUUUUGUUAAUUGAAAGAGUUUUCACAGACAUAUCUCAAAGGACCAGCACUGAGAGUUUUCCACACAUAUAUUAUGCAGACACACACACACCCAAGACCUUUUUCCCGACACCUCACAUUAACACUACACUUUGAUACAGUGUGUACUCUCUCAGGCCCUUUCCUUGGGCUCUUACACAAAGCCAAGAGUUCUGCCUGUUGCUCUUUUCCCUGAUGUGACUAUUACCUGUGUUAAGACAGGUAUCUUAACAUGCAUAGAUCUUAAAUCAAUCUAUGCAUGGCUACCAUUAUUUCACUGCAGAACACGGACUAAUAGUCCCAGCUUUACUUCUCAAUCGAGGCUUUCUGUAAGAAGAAGAGCUUCCUAUCCAGGUUUUCUUAUGAACACACAAAGACCAAUCUUUUAUCCAUGGCCUAACCCAGUGUUUACCAAACUUGAAUACAUCUGAAGACUUGCAAAGCUCUAUCAAUUUCUGUCUGAGAGACAUAUUCCAACCCUUAAAUUUAUGAAAGACUCAACAAGCUGAAAAAGCAAGCAAUACAAUUUCAGAGAAGUAGUUUAUCCAAGGAUACAUGGACAGUAAAAAGUAGAACUAUGCCUUAAAACCCUUCUUUUGACUUUAGUACAAUGUUUUCUUUUAAAUUUUAUUUAUUCAAGAAGUUUGGAAUUUAGAAAUCAUGGAGAUGAUUGGGCAAACCUAAUACUAAAGGAAAAGUCAGAUAAUCCAUAAUAUCAUUGCUUUUUAUCCCAUUAAAAAAGCUGAGAAUACUAAUAAAGCUAACUUAACUAAAAUCUGUAUAGUUAUGAUCCCGUUCUAUAAAAGAAGAGACCAGUGAAUUUUUUCAUCCCUGGUGGUGCAGCAGGAAACAGAAUCUACCACAGAAAAGAAAAUGAGGAACUACAUGAAUCUUAGACAACUAUUAAGACCUGUGUGUGAACUAGCUUGACAUGCUGGAGUCCCAAGGAACCCAUCCACAC
rnacentral:lncRNA from 1 species